CAUUGUACGGCGAACUGCGAAUGGCUCAUAUAUAAGUUAUCGUUUAUUUGAUAGCGCCUUACUACAUGGAUAACCGUGGUAAUUCUAGAGCUAAUACACGCUGAAAGCCCCGACUCCGGGAGGGGCGUGUUUAUUAGAUUAAAAGCCAAUGCCCCCCGGGCUCACUGGUGAUUCAUGAUAACCGCACGAAUCGCACGGCCCUGCGCCGGCAAUGGCUCAUUCAAAUUUCUUCCCUAUCAACUUUCGAUGUUUGGGUAGUGGCCAAACAUGGUUGCAACGGGUAACGGAGGGUUAGGGCUCGACCCCGGAGAAGGAGCCUGAGAAACGGCGACAACGUCCCAGGAAGGCAGCAGGCGCCCAAAUUACCCAAUCCCGACGCGGGGAGGUAGUGACAAUAAAUACUGAUACAGGGCUCUUUUGGGUCUUGUAAUUGGAAUGAGUACAAUUUAAAUCCCUUAACGAGGAACGAUUGGAGGGCAAGUCUGGGACCAACAGCAGGGGUAAUUCCGGCUCCGCUGGCGUAUAAAAUAGUUGUUGUGGUUAAAAAACUCGUAUUUGAACCUUGGGACUGGUUGGACGGUACCCUUCACCGCGUGCACUGGUUCGGCCUCGCCGCUUGCAAUGGUCAGGCCGGGCCCCUCCCCCCGCGGAACCCCAUGCCCUUCGCUGGGCGUGGCGGGGAAACGGGACGUUUACUUUGAAAAAAUUAGAGUGCUCCAGGCAGGCCUACGCUCGAAUACAUUAGCAUGGAAUAAUGAAAUAGGACGCGCGGUUCUAUUUUGUUGGUUUCUGGGACCGCCGUAAUGAUUAAUAGGGACAGUCGGGGGCAUCAGUAUUCGGUUGUCAGAGGUGAAAUUCUUGGAUCUACCGAAGACUAACUACUGCGAAAGCAUUUGCCAAGGAUGUUUUCAUUAAUCAGGAACGAAAGUUAGGGGAUCGAAGACGAUCAGAUACCGUCGUAGUCUUAACCAUAAACUAUGCCGACUAGGGAUCGGACGGUGUUAUUCUUUGACCCGUUCGGCACCUUACGAGAAAUCAAAGUGCUGGCUCCAGUUAGGAGUCUUGCCA
rnacentral:rRNA from 1 species